rnacentral:rRNA from 1 species
UACGGAGGGUGCAAGCGUUAUCCGGAUUCACUGGGUUUAAAGGGUGCGUAGGUGGGCAGGUAAGUCAGUGAUGAAAUCUCUGGGCUUAACCCAGAAACUGCCGUUGAUACUAUCUGUCUUGAAUAUAGUGGAGGUGAGCGGAAUAUGUCAUGUAGCGGUGAAAUGCUUAGAUAUGACAUAGAACACCCAUUGCGAAGGCAGCUCGCUACACUAUCAUUGACACUGAGGCACGAAAGCGUGGGGAUCAAACAGG